UACGAAGGGGGCUAGCGUUGCUCGGAAUCACUGGGCGUAAAGGGCUCGUAGGCGGUCUGUCGCGUCGGGAGUGAAAACCCAGGGCUCAACCCUGGGCCUGCUUCCGAUACGGGCAGACUAGAGGUAUGCAGGGGAGAAUGGAAUUCCUGGUGUAGCGGUGAAAUGCGCAGAUAUCAGGAGGAACACCAGUGGCGAAGGCGGUUCUCUGGGCAUUACCUGACGCUGAGGAGCGAAAGUGUGGGGAGCAAACAGG
rnacentral:rRNA from 1 species